rnacentral:rRNA from 1 species
UACGUAGGGUGCAAGCGUUAAUCGGAAUUACUGGGCGUAAAGCGUGCGCAGGCGGCUUUGCACGUCAGAUGUGAAAUCCCCGGGCUCAACCUGGGAACUGCAUUUGUGACUGCAUGGCUAGAGUACGGUAGAGGGGGAUGGAAUUCCGCGUGUAGCAGUGAAAUGCGUAGAUAUGCGGAGGAACACCGAUGGCGAAGGCAAUCCCCUGGACCUGUACUGACGCUCAUGCACGAAAGCGUGGGGAGCAAACAGG